rnacentral:rRNA from 1 species
AUUGAACGCUGGCGGCAGGCUUAACACAUGCAAGUCGAGCGAGCGGCGGACGGGUGAGUAAUGUCUGGGAAACUGCCUGAUGGAGGGGGAUAACUACUGGAAACGGUAGCUAAUACCGCAUACCAUCAGAUGUGCCCAGAUGGGAUUAGCUAGUAGGUGGGUGAAUGGCUCACCUAGGCGACGAUCCCUAGCUGGUCUGAGAGGAUGACAAGCCAGACUGGGACUGAGAAACGGUCCAGACUCGCACGUGAGGCAGCAGUGGGGAAUAUUGCACAAUGGGAGCAAGCCUGAUGCAGCCAUGCCGCGUGUAGUAAGAAGGCCUUCGGGUUGUAAAGCACUUUCAGCGAGGAGGCGUGACUCGCAGAAGAAGCACCGGCGAACUCCGUGCCAGCAGCCGCGGUAAUAC